CACCCCUCAUAUUCUGAUGAGAACCCUCAUGAAUAAGGUUUCCAAGAACCCAUCUUCUGAUGAGAACCCUUAUCAGAAGGAAAGAUGUUGUGGCAGAGGUGAAGCUGUACCAGCAGUCCAUGGAGAGGUCUGCAGGGAAGAGAGAGAAUCCUCCUGUGACAGCCACAUGAAUGAUAUUGAAGGCGAGCCCUCCAGGCCCAGUCAACCUUCAGAGACUGUAAUCUGUGUCAACAGUAUUACUGAAAUCUUGUGAAAGAACCUGAGCCAGAACCACCAAGCCUCAGAAACUAUGUUCGCUGGAGGUCCGCCAUCCGUCAGUCAGUGUAUGAAAGACCUAGAAGGGUCCCACUGGACUUCCUUGCCUUUCCCCCAAGUCAGUGCCUGGGCUUCUACCCCGUGUUGGAAUUCCCUGGAAACAGAUACAAUACUUCCUGCAGUAUGGCUUGACGUGCCCUGGAGGUCAACAUUAACUCUGCUGAAGCCCAAGUUUGCUAUGUAUCAGGAGCAGCAGAAACACAGAUGCAAGUAAAUCACCUGUGCUCCAUGCCUACUGCAUCCAGUCUGUUAACAUCCCAUUGGCCAAAGCGAAUCACAUGGUUGGGCUCAUCAUGAAGGCAUGGGGAAGUGGCCCUGCCCACAGUGGGUGGACACUGAGAACUUACUUUGCAAAAAGAAUGGAUACGAGAAAUAACAGGGUACCCCAGCUUAUCCUUACCUUUGUCAGAGGCUGGUUCAGAUGUUCUCGUGUCUGUCUAGUCCUAGACUUAAUCUAGUCUAGCCCUAGACUUAAUCACUUAAUUUAAUUUAAAGCCAAUUUGAUUAAUUUAAUCAUUUAAUCCCAAAUGUCCGUGCCACCUCAACAAAGAUUCUUUGCUUGAUCAAACUUCAGUCAGGCUCCUGAACCCAUCUGCGCAUUGCCUUGUAAAACCUAGUUUUAACAAGAACACUGCUUAGGUAGGUUGACUAGAACCACCUACCUGGAUAUCUGAUCAGAAGCCUCAUCCUCCACCAGCCCCCAGGUGAUAGGUAUCUGGUCACUAUGGCCCAUCUUCAGCAAGAAUCAGUAGGUGUGUUUAGCCAGAAUCCCCGUUACUCCUGAUGUGUCCUCUUAGUAAUUUUCCAUCCACUAAUCCUCACCCUGUUCCUUGGCUGUAACUCCUCACUUACCCAUGCUGUAUUUGGAGAUGAGCCAAAUCUCUCUCUCACUGCAAAACCCCAUCACAACCAUCUCUGUGUUCAUCAUAGCAGUCUGAAUGGAGACUGCCUUUCCAUGUGUAACAGGUGUCACUGGACCUAUUUCAUUCUUUAUCAUCCCCCUUUCUCCCCUGUAUGUCCACACUUCAAUUCUGCUGCUUCUACUUAUGCUCACAUCUCUCCUCAGAGACUUCCAAGACCCCACCCCCCAAAUAAGUGGGGUCCUCCUAUUUCCUUCUGUCAUGGUGCUCUUGGCACUUCUUUCUGAGUGUGAGCGGAAGUAAGUCCUGAAACCAUAAAUACUGAGAGCCUCCAAAGACCUGAGGAUUCUCUGGUCCAAGUUUCGGUUAGUAGUAGUUCAGAUAACGUCUCUGCAGAUGAAGGCCACACUUGUCCUGAACCAGCCAAAUCCUUCAACAAGAGAUGCAAGCGGCCAAUAAGCACUUGGAGAAAUGCAAAAAGUAAAACGAAAUGUAAAAGGAAGAAAUGAAAAGUUAAGUGUGUAUGCAUACGUAUGUAAAUGAAUGUAUGUAUGUAUGUAAGUAUACAUAGGGGACUUAGAUGUAUAUAUGCAAAUUUUGUCAGCUAUAAUUGUUCUAGGCCCUGAAACAAAAAAGCACAUUUGGAGCUUCAUAGAAAACGUCUAGCAACACUGAUGAAUAGUAUGAAUCAGAAGUAUAGUUAGGAUAGUCCUACAACAUGGUACUCUGGUUAGUUGUUUCUGAUUACUUUAUUUUGACGGCAAGAGCAUGCUAGUUUCAGCUCACUGGUGCUAUUUCUUCCCAAUGAUUAGUUUGGAAAAACUGAGCUGAGAGCAGCGUGCACAGACUCAGCUGACAGGAAACAAGGCUAACGAUCCAUUGUCGCUAAGAAACAUCACCCUUAAAAGAGCAACAAAUUACCCGUGUGCUUCUGGAAGCUGGGUCCAGGUGUUCCAACAGGGAUCAGUACAAGGGAACCCAGACUGUGGUGGAGGAAAAAGGUAGCCAUGGUGAGCAUGGACAUGGAUCUCUCUAGCAAAGGUGUAUGAGAGGAGUAAGAUAAUAAAAACUGACUUUGGAAACCCAUUGAAUAAAAUCAGUAUAAAUUCAGAAACUACCUAAAGAUGAAGCUACCUGCCAUCUUCAAGCCAUGGCCAGUAGACCUGAGUUUUCUGAGGUAACUGUGCAGCCUUGACCAAGCAAUCAAUAAGCAGUAAUGCCUGUUGGCUUUGGGGGCAAUGGUGUUUUGCAGGGAGUGUCAUAGCUACUAUUGUUUUCACUGCAGCCUAGCUGGAGGUGAUGCACCCUUUCCAAGAGAGAGACCCUCCUUCUCCACAGGGAAACUAAAGCUGAGAGAGGUUGCCAUCAGCGGUCUCCAGUCAGAGGCAGAAAGGUGAUAUAUCUAUAGUUAUGUUCACUAAGACUGCCUGGAAUUCGCAAGUCUUUCAUUUAUGCCAACAAAUCAAGAUUUGGACCUCAAAGCUUGAGGUGUAGACAGGUGCAUAAGAAGUAGCCAAGGCUUAGCAGAAAGAGGUCAGACAUCUCAACAAACAGAAGUCAGACAUCCUUGCAGGACAGAGUGAGCCAGAGCAGGCUGGACCCCACAGGAGAGGAUUCUGGAGCCCAGAAGAGAGGACGCAGGUCAACACAACUGUGCUCUUAACCGGGCUGGCCCCGCGACCACCACACUCUCAGCGCAGUCGAGCUGCGGAACCCAAGCUCAGGCCAUCGGUUCUUGAUGCAUCUCAGGCUUGCACACGCAGGAAUUCUAGGUGGUUGUCACAUCAACACAUUCCAUUAUUCUUAAAGCAAUCUUAUCUUCAUAAAGAUAUCUAGACUUGUUGUUGUUGUUAAUCCUUAGGUAUUGCUGUCUGUAAAUAGCUGCAUUGCGAGGAACUACUUCCUAGCUCUUGUCACCAUUUCCCGACCCCCGCUGUGCAAAACCAGGCGCUGCUUAAGUUUUCCCUUCUAAAGGAAGAAGGAAAGAACUGAGGAGGGGAGGGAGGCGGGGAAGGAGAGAGGAAGGAAGGAAAAGAAAUGAUAGUGAACGAAUUAAUAAUGAGCUGAUUUUAAUUUUAAAAGUGUGUGUAUGCAUGUGUGUCAGUGUGAUUCUAUCAUUGUCAGUAUGGCAUCACUGGGAUUCUACCAUCCAUCAAAUUCAUCCUAAGAAUCACCCUUGUGGCAGAGUAGUGUGGAGCUGAUCUAGAGAGCUACGACAGAACUCUGAGUUAGUUUCCUCUUGUCUUUAUCUAUGGGAUGCAGUUGCUGCAGUAAAUUUCUUUCAGCAAAAUUACCUUCAAAGUGUUUCUGAAAUG